rnacentral:rRNA from 1 species
CCUACGGGGAGCAGCAGUGAGGAAUAUUAGUCAAUGGACGAGAGUCUGAACCAGCCAAGUAGCGUGAAGGAUGACUGCCCUAUGGGUUGUAAACUUCUUUUAUAUGGGAAUAAAAUGUUCCACGUGUGGGAUUUUGUAUGUACCAUAUGAAUAAGGAUCGGCUAACUCCGUGCCAGCAGCCGCGGUAAUACGGAGGAUCCGAGCGUUAUCCGGAUUUAUUGGGUUUAAAGGGAGCGUAGGUGGAUUGUUAAGUCAGUUGUGAAAGUUUGCGGCUCAACCGUAAAAUUGCAGUUGAAACUGGCAGUCUUGAGUACAGUAGAGGUGGGCGGAAUUCGUUGUGUAGCGGUGAAAUGCUUAGAUAUCACGAAGAACUCCGAUUGCGAAGGCAGUUCACUGGACUGCAACUGACACUGAGGCUCGAAAGUGUGGGUAUCAAACAGGAUUAGAUACCCGUGUAGUC